GGAAAGGUGGCUGAGAGGCUUAAAGCGCCUGGUUGCUAACCAGGUGGCCCACCCCCGGGUCCGCGGGUUCGAAUCCCGCCCUUUCCUCCA
rnacentral:tRNA from 1 species